rnacentral:rRNA from 1 species
CCUGAACGCUGGCGGCGUGGCUAAGACAUGCAAGUCGCACGGUGUAGCAAUACACAGUGGCGGACGGGUGAGUAAGGUAUCGCUAACGUACCCCGGGCUCUGGGAUAGCCAUCCGAAAGGGUGGGUAAUACCAGAUGAGACCACGGCAGGGCAUCCUGCUGUGCUCAAAGCUCCGGUGGCCUGGGAUCGGGCGAUAUGGUAUCAGGUAGUUGGUAGGGUAACGGCAUACCAAGCCUUCGACGCCUAGCCGGACUGAGAGGUCGGCCGGCCACAUCGGGACUGAGACACUGCCCGGACUCCUACGGGGGGCUGCAGUAACGAAUCUUCCACAAUGCACGAAAGUGUGAUGGAGCGACGCCGCGUGCUGGAUGAAGUUCUUCGGAAUGUAAACAGCUGUCAGGGGUAAGAAAGUUCUGAUCUAUCCCAGAGGAAGUAGCGACUAACUCUGUGCCAGCCGCCGCGGUAACAC